GACGAACGCUGGCGGCGUGCCUAAUACAUGCAAGUAGAACGCUGAAGGCGGAGCUUGCUUCUCUGGAUGAGUUGCGCACGGGUGAGUAACGCGUAGGUAACCUGCCUGGUAGCGGGGGAUAACUAUUGGAAACGAUAGCUAAUACCGCAUAAUAGUAGAUGUUGCAUGACAUUUGCUUAAAAGGUGCAAUUGCAUCACUACCAGAUGGACCUGCGUUGUCUUGGCUAGUUGGUGGGGUAACGGCUCACCAAGGCGACGAGACAUAGCCGACCUGAGGGGGUGGUCGGCCACACUGGGACUGAGAAACGGCCCAGACUCCUGCGGGAGGCAGCAGUAGGGAAUCGGCGGCAAUGGACGGAAGUCUGACCGAGCAAGGCCGCGUGAGGGGAGAAGGUUUUCGGAUCGUAAAGCGCUGUUGUAAGAGAAGAACGAGUGUGAGAGUGGAAAGGUCACGCUGUGACGGUAUCUUACCAGAAAGGGACGGCUAACUACGUG
rnacentral:rRNA from 1 species